AUUGAACGCUGGCGGCAUGCCUUACACAUGCAAGUCGAACGGCAGCACGGGUGCUUGCACCUGGUGGCGAGUGGCGAACGGGUGAGUAAUACAUCGGAACAUGUCCUGUAGUGGGGGAUAGCCCGGCGAAAGCCGGAUUAAUACCGCAUACGAUCUACGGAUGAAAGCGGGGGACCUUCGGGCCUCGCGCUAUAGGGUUGGCCGAUAGCUGAUUAGCUAGUUGGUGGGGUAAAGGCCUACCAAGGCGACGAUCAGUAGCUGGUCUGAGAGGACGACCUGCCACACUGGGACUGAGACACGGCCCAGACUCCUACGGGAGGCAGCAGUGGGGAAUUUUGGACAAUGGGCGAAAGCCUGAUCCAGCAAUGCCGCGUGUGUGAAGAAGGCCUUCGGGUUGUAAAGCACUUUUGUCCGGAAAGAAAUCCUUGGCUCUAAUACAGUCGGGGGAUGACGGUACCGGAAGAAUAAGCACCGGCUAACUACGUG
rnacentral:rRNA from 1 species